rnacentral:rRNA from 1 species
CCUACGGGAGGCAGCAGUAGGGAAUAUUGCUCAAUGGGGGAAACCCUGAAGCAGCAACGCCGCGUGGAGGAUGAAGGUCUUAGGAUUGUAAACUCCUUUUGUGAGAGAAGAUAAUGACGGUAUCUCACGAAUAAGCACCGUCUAACUUCGUGCCAGCAGCCGUGGUAAUACGGAGGGUGCAAGCGUUACUCGGAAUAACUGGGCGUAAAGAGUGUGCAGGCGGGCUUGUAAGUCAGAUGUGAAAUCCUGUAGCUUAACUACAGAACUGCAUUUGAAACUAUGAGUCUAGAGUGUGGGUGAGGUAGGUGGAAUUCUUGGUGUAGGGGUAAAAUGCGUAGAUAUCAAGAAGAAUACUGAUUGCGAAGGCGACCUACUGAAACAUUACUGACGCUCAUGCACGAAAGCGUGGGGAGCAAACAGGAUUAGAUACCCCUGUAGUC